UACAGAGGGGGCGAGCGUUGUUCGGAAUUACUGGGCGUAAAGGGCGCGUAGGCGGCCAACUAAGUCACACGUGAAAUCCCCAGGCUUAACCUGGGAACUGCGUGUGAUACUGGAUGGCUUGAAUCCGGGAGAGGGAUGCGGAAUUCCAGGUGUAGCGGUGAAAUGCGUAGAUAUCUGGAGGAACACCGGUGGCGAAGGCGGCAUCCUGGACCGGUAUUGACGCUGAUGAGCGAAAGCCAGGGGAGCAAACGGG
rnacentral:rRNA from 1 species